AACUGCAAGAUCCACCGAUGGCAUCUUCAAAAUGGAGCCUUCGGCUUUGGAGGAGGAAGAUCGUAUUUUAAGAACAGAAAUUCGAUCAUUCAUCCAGAUCUGAUCCCUUAUGUUGCAGUUCCCACUCUCUUUUUUUCUUUUCUUUUUUGCCAUUUAUGAUGCAGUGACUCUUUGAACAUGAGUGAAGUUCAAAGAGAACUCAGUCAAAAUCCAUACCAAUUAACGAUUAACACAUUACAACGUAAUACAUAAGUCGUGUAUUGUAGUGACUUUGUCAAAAUCCAAAUUCAGUUACGCUAAAAUACAUUGAAAACAU